CAGGACUGCAAUAACAUGCUCUCUCAAUGGUGGCCGUGUUUGUGAGCCAUCUGUCACUCAGUGUGCACAGCUAUGGUCAUCACCAGGUGGGUGCAGUAGACAGACGUGCAAAGAUUUCCCAUGGUUGGUCAUUGAUGAUCGUCACUAUGCGCAACUUCACUAUAGCUGGAUAGCAGUGAUUCCUGUCAGAUCAUGCUCCUGACGAUUGUCUCUUGAGGCCCUCUGGAGUGCUCCACAGUCACCAGUGGUGUGUACUGUCCAAUAGAAGAGUUGCUGGAAUGGAUUCUUGCUAAGUACUCCCACUCUUGUGUGCAGUACCCCAUAUACACCACCCCUGUCUACAUCUCUUCUCCACUGUUCAUUGCUCUACUUAGGACAGAUCAUGCAAGAAAUAUUUGUAGCAAUGGUACCAUCUUGGACUGCCAAAGGGGGAGAAGGUUGGACCUAUCAGUCAAUAAUUCAGCUUACAACGAUACAAAGGUCAAGGUUAUUAUGGCCUUGAUAACAAGUCGAGGUAGGCCUACUUUGUGAACCCUGUAAGUCAAUUCAAUAGCAGUUAUGGACUACAUAAUGGGAAAUUUCAACCUUGCCAUCAUUUUUGUUUACACCUUCUCCCUAUACUUGUGUGAGUUUUUUUGACGGGUGGUUUCUCUUA